CUUCAGCUGCUUUUAAUCGGGGCCUGGGUGAAAAAUGAGGGUACCAGUAUUCUGGACAAAUCCAGGGCUGCUUAAAUUAGGAGCAGCUGUCAAGGGCAAGAAUAUCAGGGCUGUAAAGGCUACCUUAAUGAGGCAUGUGGGUGGGUGAUCGUGAUGCAAGCAUCACAAACAUUCAUUAGGAUCAUAAGGAAGGUAGGAUAGCACUGGUGUUAUGGGCAUCUGAGCUGCACUGAAACCUUCCUGCCUAAGAGCUGCUUUCAUGCUGAAUUUUAGCUAUGGUUGCAAAGAAUUAAGGAAUGCAGGGCUAACGACUGACUGACAAGAACAGCAGUUUCUUUGACGGUAUUUCGGGUGGAGCCUUUGGAGAAAUUCUAAAUGUGUUCUGUCCUGGCUGGAGGAAGAGGCUCCAGGGGACCAGAUCUCAUGUUAGCUUGGCCUCAAGAUAAAUGACUCCUCAAAGCCAAAAGAAGAUUGUGAAACCCACAGAAACAGAUUUACAGUCAACGUAGGACACUCAGCUUCUCCCUGACGCUGUGCUGGUGGUAGGUCCCCAUGGCACUUGAUUGCAUAUUUCUAAUGCUGGCUGUGGCUCCUGGAGACCUCUUAUUUGAAGUCAUGUGGGGAGCAGAAGGUUAAUUGUAGCUCAUCUUUGAGUGCUGCAAGACCUGGGGUAUUAUGCAAACUUUGCUCUGCAGGCACACCAGCCCUGACACCAUCUCUUUGCCUCACAUGGCCACGGAAAGGACACACCAGCCAGCCCACCUGCCGCCAACAGAAUCCAGCCAUCUCCCCGGCUCUCUGCAACACGCUUACCGUUGUAUGGCGGCACAAUGUCCUAGACACUACUGCAGAGGUGCUGCAGAUGGAAGCCAGAAUGAUGUGGGUUGUGGAAAAGUAGAAGAGGUGAAAUGGCAGCCAAGGAAA
rnacentral:lncRNA from 1 species